CCUACGGGAGGCAGCAGUGAGGAAUAUUGGUCAAUGGCCGCAGGGCUGAACCAGCCAAGUCGCGUGAGGGAUGACGGUCCUAUGGAUUGUAAACCUCUUUUGUCAGGGAGCAAAGGGCGCCACGUGUGGCGCUUUGCGAGUACCUGAAGAAAAAGCAUCGGCUAACUCCGUGCCAGCAGCCGCGGUAAUACGGAGGAUGCAAGCGUUAUCCGGAUUUAUUGGGUUUAAAGGGUGCGCAGGCGGAAUGUCAAGUCAGCGGUAAAAUUUCGGGGCUCAACCCCGUCGUGCCGUUGAAACUGGCGUUCUUGAGUGAGCGAGAAGUAGGCGGAAUGCGUGGUGUAGCGGUGAAAUGCAUAGAUAUCACGCAGAACUCCGAUUGCGAAGGCAGCAUACCGGCGCUCAACUGACGCUCAUGCACGAAAGCGUGGGUAUCGAACAGGAUUAGAUACCCCGGUAGUC
rnacentral:rRNA from 1 species